rnacentral:tRNA from 1 species
GCCUCUCUAGCUCAGUGGUAGAGCAGCCGCCUUGUAAGCGGCAGGUCGUCAGUUCAAUCCUGACGGGGGGCU